rnacentral:rRNA from 1 species
CUCCUACGGGGGGCAGCAGUGGGGAAUAUUGCACAAUGGGCGAAAGCCUGAUGCAGCAACGCCGCGUGAAGGAAGAAGGCCCUCGGGUUGUAAACUUCUUUUAUCAGGGACGAAGAAGUGACGGUACCUGAUGAAUAAGCCACGGCUAACUACGUGCCAGCAGCCGCGGUAAUACGUAGGUGGCAAGCGUUAUCCGGAUUUACUGGGUGUAAAGGGCGUGUAGGCGGGGAAGCAAGUCAGAU